rfam:Triticum aestivum genome assembly, contig: Triticum_aestivum_CS42_TGACv1_scaffold_362898_4DS
AUAAUACUCCCUCCGUCCAGAAAUACUCGUCGGAGAAAUAGAUAAAAAUGGAUGCAUCUAGAACUAAAAUACGUCUAGAUACAUUCAUUUCUCCGACAAGUAUUUCCGGACGGAGGGAGUAGUAC